AUUGAACGCUGGCGGCAGGCCUAACACAUGCAAGUCGAGCGGAUGACGGGAGCUUGCUCCUUGAUUCAGCGGCGGACGGGUGAGUAAUGCCUAGGAAUCUGCCUGGUAGUGGGGGACAACGUUUCGAAAGGAACGCUAAUACCGCAUACGUCCGACGGGAGAAAGCAGGGGACCUUCGGGCCUUGCGCUAUCAGAUGAGCCUAGGUCGGAUUAGCGAGUUGGUGGGGUAAUGGCUCACCAAGGCGACGAUCCGUAACUGGUCUGAGAGGAUGAUCAGUCACACUGGAACUGAGACACGGUCCAGACUCCUACGGGAGGCAGCGGUGGGGAAUAUUGGACAAUGGGCGAAAGCCUGAUCCAGCCAUGCCGCGUGUGUGAAGAAGGUCUUCGGAUUGUAAAGCACUUUAAGUUGGGAGGAAGGGCAGUAAGUUAAUACCUUGCUGUUUUGACGUUACCGACAGAAUAAGCACCGGCUAACUCUGUGCCAGCCGCCGCAGUAAAAC
rnacentral:rRNA from 1 species